CAUUAAUAUGACGUGACAAACCGUGGCACUUAGCAAAUCCACACGUUAAUCAUGUUACAACUCGUUCACCUGCGUUUUCUUGCUUUGUUUUCCAUCUAAAUCUGAAACAAGACAUUUUGACAGAGAGGUUCAUUCUCCACUCCGCUCUACACCAGCUUCUCAGUGUCACCGGUGCCAGAGGCAGUGCAAUUACAGCACAAGAUAACAUCAGCUGUAUGUGUCGUGAAUCUCUGCAGGACAAUGAGUGAAGUA